AGUGAACGCUGGCGGUAGGCCUAACACAUGCAAGUCGAACGGCAGCACAGUAAGAGCUUGCUCUUACGGGUGGCGAGUGGCGGACGGGUGAGGAAUACAUCGGAAUCUACAUUUUCGUGGGGGAUAACGUAGGGAAACUUACGCUAAUACCGCAUACGACCUACGGGUGAAAGCAGGGGAUCUUCGGACCUUGCGCGAUUGAAUGAGCCGAUGUCGGAUUAGCUAGUUGGCGGGGUAAAGGCCCACCAAGGCGACGAUCCGUAGCUGGUCUGAGAGGAUGAUCAGCCACACUGGAACUGAGACACGGUCCAGACUCCUACGGGAGGCAGCAGUGGGGAAUAUUGGACAAUGGGCGCAAGCCUGAUCCAGCCAUACCACGUGGGUGAAGAAGGCCUUCGGGUUGUAAAGCCCUUUUGUUGGGAAAGAAAAGCAGCAGGUUAAUACCCCGCUGUUCUGACGGUACCCAAAGAAUAAGCACCGGCUAACUUCGUG
rnacentral:rRNA from 1 species